rnacentral:snRNA from 1 species
AUACUUACAUGGCAGGGGUGAUUCCAUGAUCACGAAGGUGGUAUUUCCGAGGGGAAGGUUUAUCCAUUGCACUCGGGAUGGGCUGACCCCUGCGAUUUCCCCAAAUGCGGGAAACUCGACUGCACAAUUUGUGGUAGUGGGGGACUGCGUUCGCGCUCUCCCCUG